GUGCUUGCUUCGGCAGUGCGUAUACUAAUUAGAAUGAUACAGAGUAGACUAGCAUGGCCUCUGUGCAAGCAUGACAUGCAAAUUGUGAUGUGUUCUGUAUUUUU
ensembl:snRNA U6 U6 spliceosomal RNA